rnacentral:tRNA from 1 species
GUAGGCAUGGUGUAAGAGUAGCACGGAAGGCUGUGGCCCUUCAAGUGCGGGUGCAAGUCCCGCUGCCUACC